GCCUCGGAGAGCUGGGCUGCUCUCUCAGGCCUUCGAGAGGUGGCUGAGGCCUGGUGGUGCCCCCACUGAGUGGGCAGUGGGGUGGGCCUCCCCCCCCAGGCCUGGGCCCCAAGCCCCCAUCAGGAGCCCUCCUCGGGGCCCCUGCCGGGCACGGUCAGCUGUUCGUAGGUGGGCAGUGCGUUGCUGGGCAGGAAGAGCUCGGGGUUGAUGGAGCCGCCGCUGCAGGGCUGGGCCACCUGGGCCCCACCCCCUCCGGGGGCCCGGCUGCCCGGGGUGCCUCCGCGGUGCAGGGAGAGCAGCUGCUGCAGCAUGUCCGUGAUGAGCUCCAGCCUCUGGUCCAGCUGUGUCACCUGCGGGGACAGGAGCAGAGGCCAGCGUGUCCCUGGACCCAUCUGGGCCCCAGGCUGGCUGUGCAUCCCGCCCCCAGGACCGGACGGAGCAGGCUGGCCAGGCGGACUGGCGCUGGACAAGACGCUGUGUGGUGAAGGGGCCACAGAUCCCGUGGAGCUGGGUACCCGGAGGACCCAGGUUUCAGAGGUGAGCGGGGCACCCCACAGCCCUCCCUCCACGCUGGACACGGCGUCAGAGGGGAAGCGGGGCUGGUGGAUGGGGAUGAAAUGAGAGGAGGGGUCUCUCCUGAGUCGGGGUGGGGGUGGUGGUGGUGCGUGUCCUUUAACCUGAGACCCCACAGCGGGGGGCGGCAGGAUGGGGGCUGGAACGUGGAAUGCCUGUCCCAGCAGUGCCUGUCAGGACGGCUGCCUGUGAGGUGGGGCCUGUGCCCUUCCCCAGAGGAGGUGGCCCUGGUGACCUGCCCCCCACUCGGCUUUGCCUGGGGGCGGCGGCAGCACGGAGGCUGGCACUGUCUCCUGGGCUCUCCCAGGUUCCAAGGCUCGCCUCUGCCGCCGCAGACUGUGCGGGGUCUGUGACAUCAGCCCCACGGCCUGCCAGGGGACGGGGCAGCUGCGUGUCGGAGGCCCCAUCACCCCGACCAGGGCCCUAACCUAUUUUCCCAGACGCGUGAUAGGGAGCUUAGGCUCUGACGGAAGGCGUGCAGAGCUUCUCUGGUUUGACCAGGGUGCGCCCGGACCCCUCACUCAGCUCCCCACCCCUGUGCUCCCCCAGGCACCUGCCUGACACCCCAGUUCCACCGUCCCCUGAGACCACCCUGCAGACACAGGCCCCGAGGCCCCAGGAGAAGGGUCUCAUUUGGGGGCUUUGGCUGGGACCCCUGCAGCCCCCCUACCCAGGUUCCACGAGGAGGCCAUGAGGGCUGAAGCAGAGGCUCCUGGGAGGGGGCGCAGCAGGGGGUCCAAGCGGAGCUUAGAGGCCGGGCGAGUGCGGGGAGAGGCAGCGUGGGGUGGGGGGGGAUGGCCCACUGUCACACCCAAGUCCAUCCGUUUCCUUGGGCCAAGACCCCUGGGCCCCUCAGUCCCACUGCCCACCUCCGCCUGCGGGCACCCAUGGGAGACCUCGCACGCCUGCCUGCACAAGCCUUGCACGCGGCUGGUCUGGGCGAGGCUUCGGGUUGCUUCACUGGCAGGCCCCGGCCUGAGUAUCGAUGGGUUUGGCAUCAAUUAAAGCACCAAAUACAUUACAGAAGGAAAAUUUGUGGUUUGAUACA
rnacentral:lncRNA from 1 species